GAUUUUUAAUUUUAUCGGAUGCUUUUUCUGAAUAAAUGAGGUCAUGUAAAUUUAAUUUUUGGAGGUACCUCACAUGCAAACAGGUACAGUUAAAUGGUUUAACGCAGACAAAGGUUUUGGUUUCAUCGAAGUUGAAGGCGGCAACGACGUGUUCGUUCACUUCUCCGCUAUUCAAGGCGACGGUUUCAAAACUCUUGACGAAGGCCAACGCGUAGAAUUCAACGUAGUUGAAGGCGCUCGUGGACCACAAGCUGAGAACGUUGUAAAGCUGUAAUACUUUUUUAAGCAAAAGAAGCCGUACGCUGAAUAAGCGUACGACUUCUU
rnacentral:other from 1 species